UCCCUCUAAAACCACUCUGUGUGGGGAAGCUGAGAGCCAGAGCCACGCUCAGAGGAUCCAUCAGCGACUCGAACCAGAACCAGAACCCAGCUGUGUGUCCUUGAGGAGCGACAGGUCAAAGGAUAUCAUCAUUUACUUCAAACCUCCUGGACCUGCAUCCCCAGAGAGAGUGGACCAGCAGAACUCAGAGGUUCCCAGAGGUCCGUCUGCC